AACGGUCUAUACCUGCGGUACCUGCGGAAGGAUCAUUACAUGAUUUGAGGGGGCUCACGUCCCCUCAUCCAACCCACAAACCCCGAGGAACUUUUAUGUCGAGUGGUUCGGCGCCCUCUUUGAGAGCCGCCCCUCAAACGCAUCGCAGGCUUUUCGUGAAGGUCUGAUGUGUCACAUCGUGAGUAUUAAAACUUUCAACAACGGAUCUCU
rnacentral:misc_RNA from 1 species